rnacentral:rRNA from 1 species
CUACGGCAGGCACCAGUGGGGAAUAUUGCACAAUGGGCGCAAGCCUGAUGCAGCCAUGCCGCGUGUAUGAAGAAGGCCUUCGGGUUGUAAAGUACUUUCAGCGGGGAGGAAGGGAGUAAAGUUAAUACCUUUGCUCAUUGACGUUACCCGCAGAAGAAGCACCGGCUAAGUCCGUGCCAGCAGCCGCGGUAAUACGGAGGGUGCAAGCGUUAAUCGGAAUUACUGGGCGUAAAGCGCACGCAGGCGGUUUGUUAAGUCAGAUGUGAAAUCCCCGGGCUCAACCUGGGAACUGCAUCUGAUACUGGCAAGCUUGAGUGUCGUAGAGGGGGGUAGAAUUCCAGGUGUAGCGGUGAAAUGCGUAGAGAUCUGGAGGAAUACCGGUGGCGAAGGCGGCCCCCUGGACGAAGACUGACGCUCAGGUGCGAAAGCGUGGGGAGCAAACAGGAUUAGAUACCCUAGUAGUC